GUGUCAGCCGCCGCGGUAAUACGUAGGGUGCGAGCGUUGUCCGGAAUUAUUGGGCGUAAAGGGCUCGUAGGCGGUUUGUCGCGUCGGGAGUGAAAACACCGGGCUUAACUCGGUGCUUGCUUUCGAUACGGGCAGACUUGAGGCAUGCAGGGGAGAACGGAAUUCCUGGUGUAGCGGUGAAAUGCGCAGAUAUCAGGAGGAACACCGGUGGCGAAGGCGGUUCUCUGGGCAUGUUCUGACGCUGAGGAGCGAAAGUGUGGGGAGCGAACAGGAUUAGAUACCCUGGUAGUCCACACCGUAAACGUUGGGCGCUAGGUGUGGGGCCUAUUCCAUGGGUUCCGUGCCGCAGCUAACGCAUUAAGCGCCCCGCCUGGGGAGUACGGCCGCAAGGCUAAA
rnacentral:rRNA from 1 species